CAGUAGCCGCGGGAAUACGUAGGUGGCAAGCGUUGUCCGGAAUUAUUGAGCGUAAAGGGCUCGCAGGCGGUUUCUUAAGUCUGAUGUGAAAGCCCCCGGCUCAACCGGGGAGGGUCAUUGGAAACUGGGAAACUUGAGUGCAGAAGAGGAGAGUGGAAUUCCACGUGUAGCGGUGAAAUGCGUAGAGAUGUGGAGGAACACCAGUGGCGAAGGCGACUCUCUGGUCUGUAACUGACGUUGAGGAGCGAAAGCGUGGGGAGCGAACAGGAUUAGAUACCCCUGUAGUCCCUGUCUCUUAUAA
rnacentral:rRNA from 1 species